rnacentral:rRNA from 1 species
CACGUAGGGCGCGAGCGUUGUCCGGAAUUAUUGGGCGUAAAGAGCUCGUAGGCGGCCUGUUGCGUCCGCUGUGAAAGCCCGGGGCUUAACCCCGGGUCGGCAGUGGAUACGGGCAGGCUAGAGGUAGGUAGGGGAGAAUGGAAUUCCCGGUGUAGCGGUGAAAUGCGCAGAUAUCGGGAGGAACACCGGUGGCGAAGGCGGUUCUCUGGGCCUUACCUGACGCUGAGGAGCGAAAGCGUGGGAGCGAACAGGAUUGAGAUACC